rnacentral:rRNA from 1 species
UACGGGGGGGGCAAGCGUUGUUCGGAAUUACUGGGCGUAAAGGGUCUGUAGGUGGCCAACUAAGUCAGACGUGAAAUCCCCCGGCUUAACUGGGGAACUGCGUCUGAGACUGGAUGGCUCGAGUGCAGGAGAGGAACGCGGAAUUCCAGGUGUAGCGGUGAAAUGCGUAGAUAUCUGGAGGAACACCGGUGGCGAAGGCGGCGUUCUGGACUGUUACUGACACUGAGGAACGAAAGCCAGGGGAGCAAACGGG